rnacentral:rRNA from 1 species
CCUUUACUAUAGCUUCGCCUUGGCGUUAGCGACACGUAUGUGUAGGAUAGGUGGGAGGCUAUGAAGCCGGGGCGCCAGCUCUGGUGGAGCCAACCUUGAAAUACCACCCUUGUUGUCGUUGACGUCUAACCUAGGCCCGUUAUCCGGGUCAGGGACAUGGCGUGGCGGGCAGUUUGACUGGGGCGGUCGCCUCCCAAAGUGUAACGGAGGCGCGCGAUGGUGGGCUCAGACCGGUCGGAAAUCGGUCGUCGAGUGCAAUGGCAUAAGCCCGCCUGACUGAGAGACUGACAAGUCGAUCAGAGACGAAAGUCGGCCAUAGUGAUCCGGUGGUUCUGCAUGGAAGGGCCAUCGCUCAACGGAUAAAAGGUA